GACGGAGGGUGCAAGCGUUGUUCGGAAUUACUGGGCGUAAAGCGUACGUAGGCGGCGGGUUAAGUCGAAUGUUAAAGCCUGGAGCUCAACUCCAGAGAUGCAUUCGAUACUGGCCUGCUAGAGGGUGAUAGAGGAAAGCGGAAUUCCCAGUGUAGCGGUGAAACGCGUAGAUAUUGGGAGGAACAUCAGUAGCGAAGGCGGCUUUCUGGGUCACACCUGACGCUGAGGUACGAAAGCGUGGGGAGCAAACGGG
rnacentral:misc_RNA from 1 species